AUCCAGCCAUGCCGCGUGUGUGAAGAAGGUCUUCGGAUUGUAAAGCACUUUAAGUUGGGAGGAAGGGCAUUAACCUAAUACGUUAGUGUUUUGACGUUACCGACAGAAUAAGCACCGGCUAACUCUGUGCCAGCAGCCGCGGUAAUACAGAGGGUGCAAGCGUUAAUCGGAAUUACUGGGCGUAAAGCGCGCGUAGGUGGUUCGUUAAGUUGGAUGUGAAAUCCCCGGGCUCAACCUGGGAACUGCAUCCAAAACUGGCGAGCUAGAGUAGGGCAGAGGGUGGUGGAAUUUCCUGUGUAGCGGUGAAAUGCGUAGAUAUAGGAAGGAACACCAGUGGCGAAGGCGACCACCUGGGCUCAUACUGACACUGAGGUGCGAAAGCGUGGGGAGCAAACAGGAUUAGAUACCCUG
rnacentral:rRNA from 1 species